CCUACGGGUGGCAGCAGUGAGGAAUAUUGGUCCAUGGACGAGAGUCUGAACCAGCCAAGUAGCGUGAAGGAUGACUGCCCUAUGGGUUGUAAACUUCUUUUAUAUGGGAAUAAAACGUUCCACGUGUGGGAUUUUGUAUGUACCAUAUGAAUACGGAUCGGCUAACUCCGUGCCAGCAGCCGCGGUAAUACGGAGGAUCCGAGCGUUAUCCGGAUUUAUUGGGUUUAAAGGGAGCGUAGGUGGAUUGUUAAGUCAGUUGUGAAAGUUUGCGGCUCAACCGUAAAAUUGCAGUUGAAACUGGCAGUCUUGAGUACAGUAGAGGUGGGCGGAAGUCGUGGUGUAGCGGUGAAAUGCUUAGAUAUCACGAAGAACUCCGAUUGCGAAGGCAGUUCACUGGACUGCAACUGACACUGAGGCUCGAAAGUGUGGGUAUCAAACAGGAUUAGAUACCCUGGUAGUC
rnacentral:rRNA from 1 species